GAUGAAGAACGUAGCGAAAUGCGAUAAGUAAUGUGAAUUGCAGAAUUCAGUGAAUCAUCGAAUCAUUGAACGCACAUUGCGCCCGCCAGCAUUCUGGCGGGCAUGCCUGUUCGAGCGUCAUUUCAACCCUCAAGCUCUGCUUGGUGUUGGGGCCCUACGGUUGACGUAGGCCCUUAAAGGUAGUGGCGGACCCUCUCGGAGCCUCCUUUGCGUAGUAACUAACGUCUCGCAUUGGGAUUCGGAGGGACUCUUGCCGUAAAACCCCCAAAUUUUCUAAUGGUUGACCUCGGAUCAGGUAGGAAUACCCGCUGAACUUAAGCAUAUCAAUAAGCGGAGGA
rnacentral:misc_RNA from 1 species